rnacentral:lncRNA from 1 species
UCAUAUAUACUUUGAGGGAACAUACACUUGUGAAGCACCACUACCACUCAUCACUCAUCACAUAAAACCCUCCCAUCUCUUUCCUCUUCCUAUUCUCCCUUGCCAUAACCUCCAAAUUAAUAUGGCACCACCACCGCCCCUCACCUCCACCCUAGCUCUCUCCCUCUCCGCCAUCCUCCUCCUCCUCUUCACCUCCACCUCCCAAGCACACAACAUCACACGCAUUCUCGCCAAGCACCCCUCUCUCUCCACCUUCAACCACUACCUCACUCUCACCCACCUCGCCGCCGAGAUCAACCGCCGCCAGACCAUCACCGUUCUCGCCAUCGACAAUGCCGCCAUGGACGCCAUCCUCGCCAAGCACUUCUCCAUCCCUACCCUCAAGAAUGUGCUUUCCCUCCACGUCCUCGUGGAUUACUUCGGCGCCAAGAAGCUCCACCAGCUCACCGGUGGCACCACCUUGACCGCCACCAUGUUCCAGUCCACCGGCACUGCCGACGGGACCUCCGGCUACGUGAAUAUCACCAAC